rnacentral:rRNA from 1 species
GACGAACGCUGGCGGCAGGCCUAACACAUGCAAGUCGAACGGUAACAGGAAGAAGCUUGCUUCUUUGCUGACGAGUGGCGGACGGGUGAGUAAUGUCUGGGAAACUGCCUGAUGGAGGGGGAUAACUACUGGAAACGGUAGCUAAUACCGCAUAACGUCGCAAGACCAAAGAGGGGGACCUUCGGGCCUCUUGCCAUCGGAUGUGCCCAGAUGGGAUUAGCUAGUAGGUGGGGUAACGGCUCACCUAGGCGACGAUCCCUAGCUGGUCUGAGAGGAUGACCAGCCACACUGGAACUGAGACACGGUCCAGACUCCUACGGGAGGCAGCAGUGGGGAAUAUUGCACAAUGGGCGCAAGCCUGAUGCAGCCAUGCCGCGUGUAUGAAGAAGGCCUUCGGGUUGUAAAGUACUUUCAGCGGGGAGGAAGGGAGUAAAGUUAAUACCUUUGCUCAUUGACGUUACCCGCAGAAGAAGCACCGGCUAACUCCGUGCCAGCAGCCGCGGUAAUACGGAGGGUGCAAGCGUUAAUCGGAAUUACUGGGCGUAAAGCGCACGCAGGCGGUUUGUUAAGUCAGAUGUGAAAUCCCCGGGCUCAACCUGGGAACUGCAUCCGAUACUGGCAAGCUUGAGUCUCGUAGAGGGGGGUAGAAUUCCAGGUGUAGCGGUGAAAUGCGUAGAGAUCUGGAGGAAUACCGGUGGCGAAGGCGGCCCCCUGGACGAAGACUGACGCUCAGGUGCGAAAGCGUGGGGAGCAAACAGGAUUAGAUACCCUGGUAGUCCACGCCGUAAACGAUGUCGACUUGGAGGUUGUGCCCUUGAGGCGUGGCUUCCGGAGCUAACGCGUUAAGUCGACCGCCUGGGGAGUACGGCCGCAAGGUUAAAACUCAAAUGAAUUGACGGGGGCCCGCACAAGCGGCGGAGCAUGCGGAUUAAUUCGAUGCAACGCGAAGAACCUUACCAAGGCUUGACAUGCACGGCGGCACUGCAGAGAUGUGGUGGCAUUUAGUUGGUCGUGUGCAGGUGGUGCAUGGUUGUCGUCAGCUCGUGUCGUGAGAUGUUGGGUUAAGUCCCGCAACGAGCGCAACCCUUGCCCUAUGUUGCCAGCACGUGAUGGUGGGGACUCGUGGGGGACUGCCGGGGUUAACUCGGAGGAAGGUGGGGAAGACGUCAAAUCAUCAUGCCCCUUAUGUCUUGGGCUUCACGCAUGCUACAAUGGCUGGUACAGAGGGUUGCGAUACUGUGAGGUGGAGCGAAUCCCUUAAAGCCAGUCUCAGUUCGGAUUGGGGUCUGCAACUCGACCUCAUGAAGUCGGAGUCGCUAGUAAUCGCAGAUCAGCAACGCUGCGGUGAAUACGUUCCCGGGGCU